GGAGAUCGUUGUCUUGACCGUGUAUUCUUGAGCUGCAUAGUGUAAGUUUUACACAUUUUGCUGCUUCCAGUCACUUGUUAGUGACUCAAGAACUAUACAACAACAGUGCUUCAAUGAACUAUGUUAGUCCUUCUAAUAUAAAGUUUCUGCAAACGCCAACGAACCCUCUAGAUCACGAGGGGAUCAGAUUUCGAGAGGUAUUCCUUCUCAACUCCACUACAC
rnacentral:misc_RNA from 1 species